rnacentral:sRNA from 2 species
CCGGAGGGAACGCCGAAUCCUGCCGCCUUCCGGACUCCGCACCCACUCACGCACGGCAGGAGCGGGGGAACCAGGUAAGUCGCCGGUCCGGUCCCCGGAGCGGCUCGGGGUGGAGUGGUGGCCGCGGCCACCGCCGGACAUCUCCCGUCCGAACCCGACAGCUCACCUCGCAGGCGCCGGAGAGGAACG